AUGAGGACGUGCCAGUGGUUCUUGACGGCGUUGUCGGUGCGGCCGGGGAAGAGGCGGGCGAUGAGGGCCCACUUGUUGCCGUAGGCGCGGUGCGCCGCCAUCAGCCGGUCCUCCUCCUCCUCCGUGAAGGCCCGGCGGUUGAUCCGCGGGUCCAGCUGGUUGAACCACCGCAGGCGGCAGCUUUUCCCUGUUGGCCGACAUCAUCACAAAAUAAACCAGGAAUCAGGGCGCAGAACCCACGAUCACCAUUCACCACUGCGUUAA
rnacentral:rRNA from 1 species